ensembl:lncRNA LINC02200 long intergenic non-protein coding RNA 2200
GAAGCAGAUGAAAGAGAAAGUUCUACAAGCGGUUGGAAGAAAUGGGUGCUCUGGAGGUCAGGGCUGAAGUGAGGAGUUUUGAGAGUUGAGGUUCAGGCUGUGAGGAUUGUAUCUCUCCCCCAGCAAUCCUCUGCCAAGUGAGCCCUUUAUAUGCAAGGCAGUUUAUAUCUCACACACCUCUCUGUGCACCUUCUGUUUUUAACUCCCCAGGAGUAAAUUUUUCAGCCUCUUUCUUUAUAGCAAAUUACACCAUUAAUGUCAUCCUGGCGAAUGAAACAAGAGAAUAGUAUUUAUCAGAGAAAGUCUGGUGAGUUGAAGUCCAAGACCCCAGGAAACAACUAGCCCUGCUGGGCUGCCCCUCCUUCGGAGUGGGACUAUAUGAUCCUCAUCAGGCCAAUCCACGUCACAGAAUGGUCUAGGCAUUGGAUGAGUGCCUCAAUCUGAGCCAAUGAAGGUCAUUGCUGAGACAUUUUACUGGUUGCCAGGCUGCAGGCAUCCCAGGCUUCCUGCUGCCCUCAUGUCUACAACCUGUCGUCUGGAACAUUCCAGGAGCCACUUUUAUCACUUGCAGCAAUCUUCUUCAAAUACCACAGACUGGGCAAUUUAUAAAUGAUGGAAGUUUAUUUGGCUCAUGGUUCUGGAGACUGGGAAGUCCAAGAACAUGGCACUGUCAUCUGGUGAGUUAUCUCAUGGCCUAAGAGUAAAAGAGCAAAUGAGUGCAAGAGACACAGAAAAAUUUGUGGUCAAACUUAUCUUUUUAUCACAAGCACACUCCUAUGAAAACUAACCCAUUCCCAUGAUAACAAUAUUAAUCCAUUCAUAAGGGCAGAGCCCUAGUGACCUAAUAACCUCUUAAAGGCCCCACCUCCCAAUACUGUUAUAUUGGCAGUUAAAUUUCAGCAUGAGUUUUGGAGGGGACAUUCAAGCCAUAGUCAUAUUUUCACCCAAAGAAUUUCCAGUCUACCUAGUCAUGAUCCCUCUGUGUGCAGGUGUGGGUGUUUGGGAGUUUCAAAGAAAAUAGGUUAUGCCAUUCUUGCCUUCUAAAUGCUUGCAUGGAAUGACUUGAUCACCUUUCUGAUCAUUUUUUCUCUUUGGAACCUACCUUGACUCUUGUCUCAUGGAGGAAUUAUUUAAAGUAGAUGACAAGACAAAAUUCUUUCUCCUUUUGGCUCUGAAUUCACCUAAGCACUCUUCUCCCAGAAUGCCUCCUAAGUGUACUGCAUCCUGCCAGGAAAUUUUACCACUCAGCUCCCAUGUAGGAGGCCAGGGCUCCUGAACUCAGGCUCCACAGUUUUAUUCUGGGCACAAGCAUAGCUAAUGAACAAGAAACAUUGCAGUGGAGCACUAUUAUAAUCACCCUUUCAGUUCACAGAAUUCAUGUCUUGAGAAAGCAUUUUCAGUAGCAGAUGAAAUAAGAAGAUUGAAAUUUGUAGGGAGUCUUACUCUGUGAUUAAUAUGUUAUAGAAACAAAUAUUGAUUUGUUGUUUGUUCAUCUGAAGUUUAUCUGCUAACCUCAGAAGAUAGUUUACUGAAGUAACCUUUGGUCACUGACAAUAGAGAACACCUGAUGUACUUACAUUUUUUCUAAUAAUAUAACAUCAUGUACCUAGUGAUAGAGGCAGGAGGCACACAAAUGCCUAGGCAGAUAGGGGCAGAUCUGCAGUAAAACCCCACCUCCAAGCCAAAGACAUUUUAAAUCCUGAAAGCCAAGCUACAAGUCAAAUCCACCAACUGGGUUGAGACCCUGUCUUCCCAUUUGGUGUGCUUUCCUCUGAUUGAUCCCCACCCUUCACCUAUUUUACAGAUACCUACCAUUCCCUAAUUGGUUUUUUACACUGUCAUGUCCACCUUUGAGUGGUGUCUUUGUUUUAACCUUUUUUUGCAUACUCACAAACCAAUCAACAUGCAUGCCCCUAUUCUGAGCCCAUAAAAGCCCUGGACUCAGCCACACGAGGGGAGAAAAACCUCCUGACUCCAGGUAGUUGACCACCCUCACAACCCCUCUCCACUGAGAGCUCUUUUCUCACUCAAUAAAAUUAUUCUCUGCCCCCUCACACUUCAAUUGUCAGCAUAUCCUCCUUCUUCUUAGACAAAGGACAAGAGCUCAGGACCCACCGAACAUGGGUACAAAGAAGGCUGUAACAGUGAUGGGGCUGAGCCAGCCUCAGAGCCACAGGCCAGAACAGGGCUGAGAGGGCUGUUAACGUGCCACCAUCCUCCUGGGCAGGGUUGUCACCAGCCAGGGGUCUCCAGCUGGCAGAAUGACCAAGAAGAAUCCUGCGUCACUAGCAAAUUGCCCUGUGAUAUAUUUCACAUUACUCUUCCAAACCAAGGCUUUGUCCUGUGGGGCUUAACUUCUAAAAAAAAUCUAGACUCAUAUCAUAAUGAUGUCAUCCUUAUAUAAAAUUAUAGAAGAGCCCUUGCUUUCUGAGCUCUCAGAGACAGUACUUCCUAACAUACAAAUUGCCUUCUAGCAAGGUUUGAAGCAGACAUUCUUUUCCCAACUACACAUGUUUUGCAAUGACAUUUAAAAAAAAUGAAUCCCACAAUAAUAACCAGAGAUUGUAUUGUUUUAUAUUUUCUUUAUAGUACAGUAAUACUACUAGAGUUAUCUCUCUUUUGAAUAUUAUCAUUAAUUCCAUUUUUUUCAAGUCAUGUUGAAAUAAUCAAUGCAGUUAAACAAUCCCAGAUAGACUUCAGUAUGGUUUGAUUUUUUAAUGUGAUUUAAAUUCAGUUACAAAGCGUUUCACUGAAAUGCCACUUAUUGAUUUGUGGCUUAAAAAGUUCCUUCUUGGUGACAGCUUAGAAGCCAACUUCACUGAAAACAACAGAUUGUACUGGUUUCCUUUAGAUAUUUACAAUACUUCAUCAAACCAGAGAAUUUAAUUGCUGUGAAGGGCGCUCUAGAGAUUACCCAAUCCAGCCCCAUCAUUUUGCAAUUGAGGAGAAUGAGGUUUACAAGAGAGAAAUGGUAGCUGAACUACAGUUACACAAGUAGUUAAGAGGCAGAAGUGAGACCAGCAACCACUUUCCUGACUCCUGAUCAAUUCACAAUUUUAUUUAUAAAUACUCUUAUGACACUUUCAUUGCUUCCAGUGUGAGUCAAUUUUUUAUAGUGGAUAAUCUGGAGAAUAUAAACUUAAAAUACUCAUGUUAUUGUUUUACUCUUUCUCCCUUUGAAGUACUAAUAAAUUCAAGACCUC